CACAGAGAACAAACAGCAAAGCGUUUGGACACAGAGCAUGUGCGGUUUCCUCCUCUGCAUCACAAAAAGAAUCGGGUUUUGUGCUUCCCCCCCCCAAGCAGCACAGACCCUGGAAGGGAGGGAAUAACGCCGUCCUUUGCCAUUAAAUUUUCGGGCUCCAUCCCCGGGCAAGGGCCCGGCUGCGGAGGCCCGGGAGGUUCCCGGGGAGGCGCCCCGCGAGUCGGGCAGCCGGGCCAGGUCCCAGCAAGUGACACAGCUGCUCGGCGGCUCGGUGGCAGCCCAGGCGCUCCCGAUCGGAGCCCCAAGCCCCGUGGGGACCCCGGGCCCGAAGUGGGGUGGCGGGGACGGGACGGGGGGGGAAGGGCGGACACAGAACGGCGGGGCCGCCGCGCUCCGGGAGCGGCGCGGGGGGUGCGGGGGGGCUGCCGGCCGGUCACCGCGGCGAGAGCGGGCGCCCCCCAGCCGUGCCCGCCCCGGUGCUGCUGCAUGGCGCUGCUCAGCCUGCCUUGCAGAGGGAGCUCGAGUCCCGCUCUGCGCCUCGCAGCGCCUCUCACUCCGCCGCACACGCCAGCGCAGCGAGGCGGCGGCCGGCGGGAGCGGGACACGCAGCCGUCCCCGCGGGCAGCGCCCGGCCGGACAGCGCGGCAGGACACGGGCGGCGGGCGGAGAGCGCCGGGCGAGCCCCGCGGAGGAGCAGAGUCAUUUUGUCCUGGCCUGCAGCUCCCUGCCUACCCUGACAGAAGUCUGCUUUCCUGCUCUGAUUUCUUCAGUCAAGGUGUAGCUUAUCUUGGAAAGUGGAAUUGUGCUGCAGGGAGGGGACAAGGUUUUGGCAGGGCAAGGAGAACACCCAGGUAGGUGAAUGAAUUAAAUUCAUGGCUUUGGCCACUGGAACACUGGGCUGGUUUUUUUCAGCAGUUAUUGCAAGGGGAAAAGAAACCAAACCAAAUGUGUAGGAGGGCUGGAACACUUUCUACCUCUCAGGUGCUCUUGUCUGCAGUUGCAUGUGCCAGCUGGGACCUACAUCCCUCAUCUCUUGCUGCUCAAGCUGACAGUGUGAUGCAGUGCCUUGGGAAAAGCACUGUGCUUCCCUUCUGGAGCUCAUCCAGCCCCCUAAGCAGGUGGAAGAAGGCUAAGGGAUGAGUGAUGCAGCAAUGUCCCUGGUUAGCCCUCCCUGCAAUCCCAUCUGCAGAUAAAACUGCAUCCAGAAGUGGUCAUGCUGAGGGGGUGUCCCAGAUGGGACCACAUGUACCACAACAUGCUACAUUCUGCCUGAGCCAGCCCCAGAAAGCUCAGCUACAGUGAGGAAGGAGGCAGUGAAGGCUGCAGCCUAUGCUGGUGAUGGCAGUGCCCCUGCUCUGGCAUGGGUGACUGGCAGGGCUGAGGGGAUGUCCCUGUCACUGCUGCUUUUGGGGGCAUCUUUGCUGCUCUGAACUACUCCCCUCCCAGGACCAUACGGGCCACUAAGAUGAUUAAAGGAUUGGAGCAGCUGUCCUGAGAGCUGGAAAAAUGAAUGCUUGGGAAGGGGGUUCUUGUCCAUGCCUGAUUGGGGGAUAAAGAAUCACAGAACAGUAAGGUUGGAAGGAACCACUAUGGGUCAUCUGGUCCAACCUCCCUGCUCAAGGGGUCUUCCUAGAGGCAUUGGACAGAAUUGUGUCCAGAUGGUUUUUUAAUACCUCCAGUGAGGGAGACUCCACACCCUCUCUGGGCAACCUGUUCCUUUGUGUGGUCACCCACACAGUGAAGUUUUUCUUCCUCAUUUUCAUGUGGAACUUCCCAUGCAUUAGUUUCUGCCCAUUGCCUCUUGUCCUGUUGCUGAGCAUCACUGAGUAGAGCCUGAUCCAUCCUCUGGCACCCU
ensembl:lncRNA